ACGUACGCUGGCGGCACGCCUAACACAUGCAAGUCGAACGAAGUAGCAAUAGUUAGUGGCAGACGGGUGAGUAACAUGUGGGUAUCUACCCUUUGGCCUGGAAUAACACGAGGAAACUUGUGCUAAUACCGGAUAAGUCUUUACGGAGAAAGCUUUAUGCACCAUUGGAUGAGCCCGCACUUGAUUAGUUUGUUGGUAGGGUAAUGGCCUACCAAGACUAUGAUCAAUAGCUGAUUUGAGAGGAUGAUCAGCCACAUUGGGACUGAGACACGGCCCAAACUCCUACGGGAGGCAGCAGUGGGGAAUCUUGCACAAUGGAGGAAACUCUGAUGCAGCGAUGCCGCGUGAGUGAAGAAGGCCUUUGGGUUGUAAAGCUCUUUCGUCGGGGAAGAAAAUGACUGUACCCGAAUAAGAAGGUCCGGCUAACUUCGUGCCAGCAGCCGCGGUAAUACGAAGGGACCUAGCGUAGUUCGGAAUUACUGGGCUUAAAGAGUUCGUAGGUGGUUGAAAAAGUCGGUGGUGAAAUCCCAGAGCUUAACUCUGGAACUGCCAUCAAAACUUUUCAGCUAGAGUAUGAUAGAGGAAAGCAGAAUUUCUAGUGUAGAGGUGAAAUUCGUAGAUAUUAGAAAGAAUACCAAUUGCGAAGGCGAGCUUUCUGGCUCAUUACUGA
rnacentral:rRNA from 1 species